GUAGUCCUGCAACCUCUUCUGUACACUCAACAGCAUAGAUGCACAUCAGGUAGAGUCAGUGCCAACACCCCUACACUGCCCCUGCCGCAUGCCCACCCUGACUCAGGGACACCAUCUCUCUAGAGGGGAGAGAAGAUUUGGAAUCUGUCCCUUCUCUAUU
ensembl:misc_RNA